rnacentral:rRNA from 1 species
AUUGAACGCUGGCGGCAUGCCUUACACAUGCAAGUCGAACGGCAGCACGGGAGCAAUCCUGGUGGCGAGUGGCGAACGGGUGAGUAAAGUAUCGGAACGUGCCCAGUCGUGGGGGAUAACGUAGCGAAAGUUACGCUAAUACCGCAUACGAUCUAUGGAUGAAAGCGGGGGAUCGCAAGACCUCGCGCGAUUGGAGCGGCCGAUAUCAGAUUAGGUAGUUGGUGGGGUCAAGGCUAAGCAAGCCGACGAUCUGGAGCUGGUGUGAGAGGACGACCAGCAACACUGGGCCUGAGACACGGCCCAGACUCCUGCGGGGGGCAGCAGUGGGGAAUUUUGUACAAUGGGCGAAAGCCUGAUCCAGCCAUGCCGCGUGCAGGAUGAAGGCCUGCGGGUUGUAAACUGCUUUUGUACGGAACGAAAAGGUUUGGCCUAAUAAGCUGAGCUCAUGACGGUACCGUAAGAAUAAGCACCGGCUAACUACGUGCCAGCCGCCGCCGUAA